rnacentral:rRNA from 1 species
GACAGAGGGUGCAAACGUUGUUCGGAGUUACUGGGCGUAAAGCGAGUGUAGGCGGUUCGAUAAGUCGGAUGUGAAAGCCCCGGGCUCAACCCGGGAAGUGCACUCGAUACUGUCGAGCUAGAGUAUCGGAGAGGUUGGUGGAAUUCUCGGUGUAGAGGUGAAAUUCGUAGAUAUCGAGAGGAACACCGGUGGCGAAGGCGGCCAACUGGACGAAUACUGACGCUGAGACUCGAACGAGCGUGGGAGGCAAACAGG